rnacentral:tRNA from 1 species
UCCCUGGUGGUCUAAUGGUUAAGAUUCUGCAUUCCAAUGUAGAGACACAGGUUUGAUCCCUGGUCGGGGAA